UAUGUCACCUGACCAAGCCUGACGUUAAGCACAAGGAAAAGAAUUCUCUUCCAAUAGGAAUCUCGUGGCAAAGGAAAGGGAUACCCAUUCAUCUUAAAGGAAAGGCAGGAAAUUCCUGGGAAGAGCAACAAUUAAAAGGAGGUGAUUUUCCGACAAAGAAUGCAUGUCUCCGCGAGCAAAGAUGCUGUGAUUGAUUACCAAUUUCCCACUCCCUGGGAUUUCAGUUGCUGUUAUAAUCUGGGAUGAAAGCAUACUGCAUGUGAGAUGAGCACAAUUAAAAGUCUUCUGAGAGCCCUGGAAAGCAAAUGUGAUAUUGGGUCACCUGCAUGGAGGAUCUGGGCCAGGUGUAUGGCAUGCAGGAGCUGGUUGGGCCAUAGUUUAACAUGAAAAGUACAAACAGUAAAAACCAUGGCGGCCCGUGCUGACCAGGUGCCAGCUGGGGAGCACAGAGGCGGACUCCAUGGCUGACGGAGGGAAAGAGGCAUGUAAGUAUUCAGGACAUCAAUAAAAAGAGGAGAAUGCGUACAUAGACUUACAGUCCUAAAGGGUUAA